rnacentral:ncRNA from 1 species
UUGCUACGCCGUUGGGGAAGUCCUGUGAGAAUCAGGCACAGUCGCGCUACGGUAUUGAGUUGCCGGCGAUCCUGGCACGCUAAGUCCGAGUACCAACAUAGCAA